rnacentral:rRNA from 1 species
UAGGGAACUGAAAGGACCGACCUUCGGGAGCCUAUACAGGUGUUGCAUGGCUGUCGUCAGCUCGUGUCGUGAGAUGUUCGGUUAAGUCCGCUAACGAGCGCAACCCUCGUCGUAUGUUAUAUGUGUCAUACGAGACUGCCGGUAAAAAGCCGGGGGAAGGUGAGGAUGAUGUCAAGUCAGCAUGACCUUUAUAUCCAGGGCUACACACACGCUACAAUGGUCUGUACAAUGGGUAGCCAAGCCGCGAGGCGGAGCCAAUCCUGAAAGCAGGCCUCAGUUCAGAUUGCAGUCUGCAACUCGACUGCAUGAAGCCGGAGUUGCUAGUAACCGCAGGUCAGCAAUACUGCGGUGAAUACGUUCCCGGGUCUU